rnacentral:rRNA from 1 species
AUACGGAGGAUGCAAGCGUUAUCCGGAUUUAUUGGGUUUAAAGGGUGCGUAGGCGGUUUGCUAAGCGGGAGGUGAAAUGCCGGCGCUCAACGUCGGAAGUGCCUCCCGAACUGGUGGACUGGAAUGACUCUGCCGUGGGAAGAAUGUGUAGUGUAGCGGUGAAAUGCUUAGAGAUUACACAGAACACCGAUUGCGAAGGCAUCUCACGAAGGGUUGAUUGACGCUGAGGCACGAAAGCGUGGGGAUCAAACAGGAUUAGAUACCCUGGUAGUCCACGCAGUAAACGAUGAUGGCUAACCGCUGGUUUAUUCGGAUCAGUGGCCAAGCGAAAGCGAUAAGCCAUCCACCUGGGGAGUACGACCGCAAGGUUGAAACUCAAAUGAAUUGACGGGG